CUGGGAUUUUGUCUUUUAAGAGCAGCCUGGUCCUGUCUGCUGCAGAGCCUUUUGUCUCGCUAACCUGGAUCCUGACGGGCGCGACAAAAGGUUCUGCGGCUGCGCUGGGGAGACCUCGGCCCUGAGCACUGGCACAGUGCCUGAGGAGGCCUUUACCAGGGCUCUGGGGUUUGGGGGGGUUCCUUCUGACGUGUUUUCUAAGUUCCUUCUGUCCUGAACAAUGAAUUGGUCGGGACAAGCUCAGAAGACAGCUAGGCUCUACAUCCAUUCAAGGCAGGAAAAUAAACUUGCUGCACAGGGUGAGGACAGACCACUGGGAAAGAGAGCCUCUCUCUGGCUGGUGUCAGGUCGAGGCCUAUCAGAAACCUGCUCAAGUUCUCGCGAGAAGACUUGAAGCGAGCGCUCUGAUUGGCCCCAGGCGUGGGGCUUUGGGAACCGUUUUGCCACCGUUCCUGAAGUUUCUGUUGAACCGUCCCACCCACUUUUCCCGCGGCUUCGUCGCACCUUAAUCUCUUGCCUCAGACUCGCUCUGGGUCUGUGGCUUCUGGGAGCCCGCUGAGGGGUCUGGGCGGCGCUCUCACCUGUCCAGCACAGGUUCGUCCUGCCCAGUGCUCACAGCCCCAAACCUGAGCCCGUUCAGCAGGCUCCUCCGCUUCCACCCGAUGGACGGAGCUCUUCGCUGCUUCCGGUUCUCCCGGCACCGUUAGUAGACAUCAGAAGAGAGAAGACUACAAGUGUAGGUUGGGCCGCUUGUAAAGGCCAGGCAGCCAAGGCAAAAUGACAUCCUCCCGGGCAAGGUCGUCACUCUGAGGAGAGUCAUUGUCCCCACCUCCGUCGCACGUUGGAAGCAGAGGCAGCCCAGAGUCCGAGCCGGGGGUUUCUGAGUCGCCUCAAGCUCUGCCCCACGAGGACAGGAAACCUUUGCCAGGACCUCACCUUACAGAAUCUCACCUUUCCUGCUUUGGUGGAGAAACUACCACAAAGCAAGGAACCAAGAGAGGCUUCCAACCACAGCCAGUAGGACAUUGGAACCAUCAUCCCAGCAGCCUUGAGGAACAGACUCCUCCAAAAGUGCAGACAUAACAUGGAUGCAUGUUCUUCUCCACUAGACCCUUCAGAUGAAGCCCCUUGGCUGCACUUCCUGAAGGGCUCUAAAGCAGGAAAAGUAGCUGGAUCUUGCCUGGAUUCCUAACUCGUCAAAACUUUGAGAUAAUAAAUGUAUGUAUUUUUAAGCCACUAAAUUUUAAAGUACUCAUUACAACACAUAAGAUAACUAAUACAUCCCUAAAUCCCUGUAACUUUGGUAUAAGAUAUAGUAGACCAGGAACCAAGCUCACCUUCCUCAAAUACGGUAGCAGAGUGUCUGACAACAUCCCUGAACACAUUGCCCUCAUGUUUGAAGACUGUUCCUUAUACUUCAAAAAUAAAAUGUGUCGCUGAGUCACGCGAAAGACGCCGAAUCAGCCCGCUGCAGACAGGCAGGCCUGUGCACACCCUACCGAGGUCCUGAGUCACGCAGAAGACGCCGAAUCACCCCACUGCAGACAGGCAGCCACCUGAUUCCACAUUACCAAGGCGCAGAGGACACCAGACCACCAGACCAAGGAAGAACCUGGUAUCUAACUCCAGAAGGAGAGGUGAACAACCCAGAACUCCGUAACGUUAAAGUUGAGAAGCCACUUUUAGACAUAGGCUACGUAACAUUUUGGCAUAGCCAGCCUGGAGGAAAGCUCAGGUACAAGAGACAAAGGACUAGGACUAGCAGGAACCACCCAACCAGUCUGUAAAGCUUGCCCACUCUGUGCCUACAAUAACUCUGGCAAGUCCAAACUGCCUCCUUUAUUAGAACCUGUACAGAGAAGAGGGACAUACCCUGGAGAGGCCUGGCAAUUAGACUUUACCCAUAUACCACCAUGUGGAGGAUGUAAACAGAUGUUAGUCCUAAUUGACACAUUUAUAGGCUGGAUCGAAUCCUAACCUACCUGUUCAGAAAAGGCUAUAAAGGUAGUCAAGGUGCUUCUUUAAAAACUCAUCUCAAGAUUUGAACUAUCCCAGUCCCUGCAGAGACACAAUGGACUUUAGGAAUAAAGUACCACCUCCAUUACUUCUGCUGGCCUCGAUGUUCUGGAAAGGUAGAGAGAGCCGCCAGACCCUAAUGCAAGCUCUGGCAAAACUCUGCCAAGAGACAUCUGAGUCUUGGCUCCAAGUGCUGCCAAUAACACUCAUGAGGGUUCAUAACAUGCCAAAAAGUGGACUAAGUUUGAGCCCAUUUGAAAUGUUAUAUAGGAGGCCAUUUUUAUCCUCUGAUAUGAUAGUAAACCCAGAGACUAUGAUUCUUACAAUAUCUCAUUAAUCUGGGAGACAUACAGCAGGCUAUGCAAAUAUUUGGGAACAAAGUUCUACCAGCUCCUGGACUAGGAGGACCACUCACUGUCCAUCCUGGAGACCAAGUGGUUGUAAAAACUUGGAGGGAACACUUGCUGACCCAUUAAACCCAAAAUGGAAAGACACCCCCCCCCCCGGCCCAGUGACCUUUGGUGGCAGAGAUAUAAUUAGAUUCAUCUUUCUGAAAUAAAGCUAGUCCCUUCUGAACUGUCUGAAGAACAAGAUCACCCAAAGGGAAGAAGCUACUCCUGUGAGGAUUCUGGAAGACUUGAGAUUUCUCUUCAAAAAGCAAGACUGCUCCUCAUAUUUGGGCUAAUACUGAAGUUCUCAUUAUUCCCUGACAGGUUUUCCUUUCUUCAACCCAGCCAGUGAGCCACAGCAUCCCAAGGUAGUUGGAGAGCACAUAAUCCCCAGUAGGUAGGGUCUACAACAGCCCCUUCCAGUUUGAAGAAGUUAUAAAAGACAGAGACCUCCAGUCCCUCAGCACCCCAUAAAGAGUUAUGGGGAUUUGUGUCUCUCAAGGGGAAAUGAGAUAGGAGAGUAGGGCUGGGGAAGUAGGUGUGACCUGUUAAUUACAAGAUCCUGGACAUAUGUGCAGAACAGUUCCCAAAGCCCUGCAUGUGGACUUCUCUCAAGAACUCAAGCAGGUUUUCAAUAGGAUGGCCUAGACCUGACAUUGCCUCUCAGGACCUGGAUGUAGAAGUUCUCGCUGGUUUCCUUGAGAUUUAGACAGCAUAAAAGGACACAUUAAUGCCUUGAAGGUUUUGUUAUCAUAAUUUUCUAUGAUAGCCCAUGCUGUUUUUCCCAGAUACAGUGUGUACUUUUUUGUUUUUAUCUUCUUUUUUAUCUUGUUUAGCUGGUUUCUUCCAUAUCUCCUCACCCCCCACUUUUCACAUAAACUUUUGGCAGUGUUUUUGGCUUGUCUUAUCCAAUUCUUUGUUUGAGACAAGAAUCUGGAAUCUUAACUACAGGAGAGGCAAGCAACCCAGAACCCAGUAACAUUUAGAUGAUGAGCCACUUUUAGAAGCAAGCUACCUGAUAACAGCUUUAAAAUGUGAAUGCCUAGGAAUUAACCUAACCAAGAUGUCAUUUUUGUGGAUAGCCUAUACUGUAUGUAUUUGUUUUUCUC
ensembl:lncRNA